rnacentral:rRNA from 1 species
AUUGAACGCUGGCGGCAUGCCUUACACAUGCAAGUCGAACGGCAGCACGGGAGCAAUCCUGGUGGCGAGUGGCGAACGGGUGAGUAAUAUAUCGGAACGUGCCCAGUCGUGGGGAUAACGUAGCGAAAGCUACGCUAAUACCGCAUACGAUCUAUGGAUGAAAGCGGGGGGAUCGCAAGACCUCGCGCGAUUGGAGCGGCCGAUAUCAGAUUAGGUAGUUGGUGAGGUAAAGGCUCACCAAGCCGACGAUCUGUAGCUGGUCUGAGAGGACGACCAGCCACACUGGGACUGAGACACGGCCCAGGACUCCUACGGGAGGCAGCAGUGGGAAUUUUGGACAAUGGGCGCAAGCCUGAUCCAGCAAUGCCGCGUGCAGGAUGAAGGCCUCGGUGUAACUGCUUUGUACGGUAACG